rnacentral:lncRNA from 1 species
CUUGCAGGAUGCCGCCAAGAUUGAUGCCUCCCUGCUGGCACUAUGGCAGAAGAUAAAUGCCCUGAACACCUUCCUGAUCCCACGCAUCUCGUUCACCCUAAGGGGAUCUGCUGUGGCGAAGGUGCCCCUCAACAAGGCAGACAAGAUCAUCCGGAAGCUGGUGAAGAAGUGGCUGUUCCUUCCCCAGAGAGGCAGCAACGAGCUGGUCUACAUCGCCCACAGGCACGGCGGCGCCAACAUCCCCCGCAUGGGUGACCUGUGUGACGUCGCGGUGAUCACCCACGCCUUCCACCUGCUGACAUGUCCCAACGCCAUGAUAAGGAACAUCGCGGCGAAUGCCCUGCAUGGUGUGACAGAGAAGUGGAUUGGCAGAGCCCCCUACAACCAAGACCUCGCCACCUUCCUGAGCGGCUCCCUGGAUGGGGAAUUCGGAUGGGACAGGCGCAACAUCGCUUCACUGUGGUCCCACACUCGCAACGCCACGCGUCACCUAGGGAAGCGCAUCGGCUGCCGCUGGGAGUGGUGCGAGGAGCGCCAGGAGCUAGGAGUCUGGGUGCCGCAGAUCAGGUCUGAUGACAAUACCAUCGUCACCCCGAGCGCCAGGGGCUUGCUGGAGAGGACUCUGAAGGCCACCAUCCACUCGCUGUACGUGGAAACCCUGAAGCGUAAACCGGACCAGGGUAAAGCCUUUGAGUUGACCAGCAAGUGGGACGCCAGCAACCACUUCCUCGCCGGGGGCGGCUUCACCCGUUUCACCGACUGGCGGUUCAUCCACCGUGCCUGGCUCAGCUGCGUCCUGCUCAACGGAGCCGUCUGCCACGGGAACCAAGACAAGCAUUGUAGGAAGUGCGGCUACUCCAACGAGACCCUACCCCACAUCCUGUGCAGCUGCAAACCCCACUCCAGAGCCUGGCAGCUGCGCCACAACGCCAUCCAGAACCACCUGGUGAAAGCCAUUGCACCACACCUGGGGGAGAUCUCCGUGAACUGCACCAUCCCUGGUACCGACAGCCAGCUACGACCUGACGCGGUCGUCACCAACCAGACCCAGAAAAAGAUCAUCCUCAUCGACGUCAUGGUCUCCUUUGAGAACAGGACCCUGGCAGUUCGCGAAGCCCGAGCUCGUAAGCUGGGAAAGUACACCCCCCUGGCUGACACCCUGAGAGCGAAGGGCUACGAGGUGCAGAUGGACGCCCUGAUUGUCGGAGCCCUGGGCGCCUGGGACCCCUGCAACGAGCGUGUGCUGCGGACCUGCGGGAUCGGUCGACGCUACGCACAGCUCAUGCGGUGCCUCAUGGUCUCAGACACCAUCCGAUGGUCCAGGGACAUCUACAUCGAGCACAUCACCGGCCACCGACAGUACCAGGAGGCGUGAGCCAGAGUGACAUCGUUCUCCCACUACGAGAAAGGGACCAAGUGACCUUCUCUGUUGGAUCAUAUGAACUGGAACCAUAAAUUCCCUGAACAUUAAAUCUCAUCAAAUGAGGGUCAAUCCAUCCUCAUCAUCAUAUCCACUCAUU